GUCCUGAGUGCGUGCCUGUCAGUCAAAGAGUGGCACUAUGGCCGCCACGAAGCUACACUCGGCGGAGCGUGUCGAGGGCGGCGCUCCGGUCGAGCAUGACACCGACGUCGACGGCCAAAGCGAGGCGGAAACUGGGAAAGCAGACAGCCGUCCAGAGAAGAAAACUGUCCAACCGAAGGCGGAGGCCGGCGGGGCUCCGGAGCAGGCCGCUAGCCAGGCGCCCACCGACGUGGAGGUCUCAGUCCCCGGCCAGGGUACCAUAGUGGAGGUGUCGGACCCCGGCCUGGGUACCAGAGUGGAGGUGUCAGACCCCGGCCUGGGUACCAGAGUGGAGGUGUCAGCCCCCGGCCUGGGUACCAGAGUGGAGGUGUCAGACCCCGGCCUGGGUACCAUAGUGGAGGUGUCAGACCCCGGCCUGGGUACCAGAGUGGAGGUGUCGGACCCCGGCCUGGGUACCAGAGUGGAGGUGUCAGACCCCGGCCUGGGUACCAGAGUGGAGGUGUCAGCCCCCGGCCUGGGUACCAGAGUGGAGGUGUCAGACCCCGGCCUGGGUACCAGAGUGGAGGUGUCAGCCCCCGGCCUGGGUACCAGAGUGGAGGUGUCAGACCCCGGCCUGGGUACCAGAGUGGAGGUGUCAGACCCCGGCCUGGGUACCAGAGUGGAGGUGUCAGCCCCCGGCCAGAGUACCAGAGUGCCGGCCUCGGUGCAGUCACAGCCGCGGCAAGACAGCGACCCUGGUGAUGGCCACACGGCGAGAGACAGCAAAGAGGAGAGCGGGUGUUUGGCUUUGGUCUGCGACAAAAGCAAAGCGAGUGUCGAAGACGACAAAGUGAAGAGCGGGGAUGGAGACACGAGGCGACCCAGCCUGGAGGUCUCAUCCUCGGAUGGAGAACCGCUGAGCCGCGUGGACUCCGAAGACAGUAUAAGCAGCACCCUGAUGGAGAUGGACAGCACGGUGUCCAGUGGCCGCUCCACCCCAGCUAUGAUGAACGGACUGGGCAGUGCCAGCUCCUCCGCUACAAAGACUGUGGCCUACUCUUGUUCUUGGGAUCUUUGUCUUCAGUACUUCAACUCCAGUCCGGAUCUUGCCGAGCACAUCAGGAGCAUCCAUGUGGAUGGACAAAGAGGAGGGGUGUUUGUGUGUCUUUGGAAAGGUUGCAAGGUGUACAAUACUCCAUCCACCAGUCAGAGUUGGCUCCAGAGACACAUGCUGACCCACAGUGGAGAUAAACCCUUUAAGUGCGUUGUUGGUGGCUGCACUGCAAGUUUCGCCUCCCAAGGAGGGCUGGCUCGCCACGUUCCCAGUCAUUUCAGCCAACAAAGCUCUUCUAAAAUGUCCAGCCAGGCAAAACUCAAGGAGGAGUUGCCCUCCAAGGCUGGUCUCAACAAGAGGAAGAAACUCAAAAACAAACGCAGGUGCUCUCUACCAAGGCCCCAUGACUUCUUUGAUGCACAAACCAUGGACGCUAUCCGUCACAGAGCCAUCUGUCUCAACCUUGCGACUCACAUUGAAAGCGUGGGCAACGGCCACAGUGUGGUCUUUAACAGCACGGUGCUAGCCAAGAGGAAGGAGGGCUCAGGAAAGGUCAACGUCCUCUUGCACUGGACCCCUGAAGACAUCCUGCCUGACGUGUGGGUGAAUGAAACGGAGCGAUGUCAGCUGAAGACUAAAGUGGUGCACUUAUCCCAGCUACCGCAGGACACCGCCAUGCUGCUGGACCCAAAUAUAUACAGAGCACUUUCACAGAAGAGACUGAAGCAGAGCCUUUAAGGAGCCGUUUCUGGACUUUUUUUAAUUUUUUUUAUUCCUUGCCCUCAGAAGUUUUGUUGUCAUGUGAAAAACUUUUUAGGGGACUAUUUAAAGCUGUGGACGGGAAACAAUAUCAACACUUUGUUCUCAUCAAGAACGAGGAACCUCUACAACAUGGAUUUUAAAACAGGAAUAUUUAGAUGCCCUAUGAAGCAAUAAUUCUGCUGAUGAAAUACCGGGCAGCUUGCAUACGCCUCUUUUCAAAUCAUCCUUGGCAAUCUGUGUGGUUUGCAUGUCUACCCCACCUCAAAGUUCCUGAAAGUGAUAUAUUCCAAACACCCACAAAAAGAGCUUCGGAUUCUGCAACGACCCCGCUUGUCACGAGGUACUUUUCCAGGGAGUUUGGGAUCAAGGGAAAGUUAUUAUAAUUUUUUUUUACUUGGGUAAAAUGGGAGGAAAUGUGCCUCGGUGUUUCAAAAUUCCAGGUAAAUGAGAAAAGUUUGUGCUCCGAAAAAGGGGAAUAGACCUCAGAAAAGCUGGUGUUCGCUCUUUGCAUUGUGGGCUGAGGUCUGAAUGUUUGUUGUUUACAUUGCUGAGUUGGGCAAGCAAUAAUAAAAUGGACCAUGUAAAAAAACCAAGGAACCAUACCAAAGCUACCCUAUUUUUCGGAUUAUAAAUCACUCUGGAGUAUAAAUCGCACCGGCCAAAAAUGCAAAAUAAAGAAGGAAAAAAGCAUAUAUACGUCGCACUGGAGUAUAAGUCACAUUUUUGGGGGAAAUUUCUUUGAUAAAACCCAACACCAAGAAUAGACAUUUGAAAGGCAAUUUAAAAUAAAUAAAGAAUAAUGAACAACAGGCUGAAUAAGUGUAGGUUAUAUGAGGCAGAAAUAACCAACUGCUAUGUUAACCUAACAUAUUAUGGUAAGAGUCGUUCAAAUAACUAUAACAUAAUAGGGGUGUUACGGUACACAAAUAUUUUGGUUCGGUACAUACCUCGGUUUAGAGGUCAUGGUUCGGUUCAUUUUCGGUACAGUAAGAAAACAACAAAAUAUAAUUUCUUGGGUUAUUUGUUCACCAAAUUUGCAAAAUCUUCCACCAAAAAUAUUUUUCUUAGUGGAAUAUUUGAUUUGAAGUAAUGGGAACUUUGGAUAGGUCAAUAAUUCAUAAAAACAUUGAUUUUGAUUCAAUAUUAUGUUUUGAGCAAUGACAGUUUGAAAGGAAAAAACAGCUUUGUUUUAUUAGUCAACAUUGCAACUUUUUUUUAAUUACUUUUAACCUUCAAGCUUUUUUAUUUCACUUUUGUUAUGUUUUUGUUUAUUUUAAUAGUAUUUUUAGAAUAUGCCGUGGGCCUUUAAAACAUUAGCUGUGGGCCGCAAAUGGCCUCCAGGGCACACUUUUGACACCCCUGCUAUAGAUAAUAAAACAUUAAAGGGGAACAUUAUCACUAUUUCAAAAGGGUUAAGAACAAUUAAAAUCAGUUCCCAGUGGCAUGUUGUAUUUUUUGAAGUUUUUUUCAAAAUUUUACCGGUCUCCGAAUUUCCCUAAAAAAAGCUUUAAAGUGCUUGAUUUUUGCUAUUUGCGAUGCCACUAUCCAUUUCCAUGUGACGUCAUACAGUGCUGCCAAUGUAAACAAACAAUGGCGAAUACCACAGCAAGAUAUAGCGACAAUAGCUCGGAUUCAGACUCGGAUUUCAGUGGCUUAAGCGAUUCAACAGAUUACGCAUGUAUUGAAACGGAUGGUUGGAGUAUGAAAGUAUUGAAGAAGAAACUGAAGCUAUUGAGCGAAUAGCUAUUGACGCUAUUUAUAGCCAUAGCAUGGCCGAAUAGCUGCGUUAGCAUCGCCGGUAAAAUGUGCGGACCAAACGAUCAGGACUUUCGCAUCUUGUGACACUGGAGCAACUUAAAUCCGUCGAUUGGUAAGUGUUUUUUUCGCAUUAAAUGUGGGUGGAAGGAAACGUAAUAUAGUUGCAAAUGCAUCUACAGGUUAUCCAUACAUCUCUGUGCCAUGUCUGCUUUAACACCACCGGUAAAUAGCAUGUUAGCAUCGAUUCGCGUAGCAUGUUAGCAUCGAUUAGCUGGCAGUCAACAUCAACAAAACUCACCUUUGUGAUUUCUGUGACUUUAUCGUUACAAAUGCAUCUGCAGGUUAUCCAUACAUCUCUGUGCCAUGUCUGCUUUAGCACCGCCGGUAAAAAGCAGGUUAGCACCGAUUAGCUCGCAGUCACGCCGCGACAAAAUAUGUCUGAUUAGCACAUAAGUCAACAUCAACAAAACUCACCUUUGUGAUUUCGUUGACUUUAUCAUUGCUAAUGCAUCUGCAGGUUAUCCAUACAUCUGUGUCUUGUCUGUCAUCGCCGGUAAAAUGUGGAGACACUCCAGCACAUUCAAUGGGUGUCUGGCGGCAGACACUUUCGCAUCUUCGGGCCAGUGGUGCAACUUGAAUCCCUCCCUGUUAGUGUUGUUACACCCUCCGACAAUACACCAACGAGGCAUGAUGUCUCCAAGGUUCCAAAAAAUAGUCGAAAAAACGUAAAAUAACAGAGCUGAGACCCAAUGUUUACAAAGGGUUGAAAAUGAAAAUGGCGGCUGUAUUACCUCGGCGACGUUACAUUCUGACGUCAUCGCCUCCAGAGCGAUAAACAGAAAGGCGUUUAAUUCGCCAAAAUUCACCCAUUUAAAGUUUGGAAAUCGGUUAAAAAACUAUAUGGUCUUUCUUCUGCACCAUCAAGGUAUAUAUUGACGCUUACAUAGGUCUGGUGAUAAUGUUCCCCUUUAAAUCUGAUAAAUCAAUGGAUAAAAAGCAGAGCCUGGAGACACAUGCGCGUUUAUCAUAACUCUCUCGCUCUCUCUGUCUCUGUCCUCCCUCACCAAUGCAGUUGCGUGCACAAUGUGUUUGGUUUUUAACACCUUCUUAACCCUGAACGUACAUUGUUAAUAUACGCAACCAUAACUUAAAAUGCCGGACAUUUGAGGCAUUUAAAAAACUCUGCCCUGACAGCCCCGCAA